rnacentral:rRNA from 1 species
GAAAUGCGAUAAGUAAUGUGAAUUGCAGAAUUCAGUGAAUCAUCGAAUCUUUGAACGCACCUUGCACCCUUUGGUAUUCCGAAGGGUACACCCGUUUGAGUGUCAUUGUAAUCUCACUUCAACGACUUUAUUGUUGUUUGAAUGUGGACUUGGACGUCUGCCGUGUAACAAUGGCUCGUCUUAAAUGCCUGAGUGUACCCCGCUUUGCGGCGUAUUCGGUGUGAUAAACAUUUCACCGGAGUUUGGUCUUUAUUGACCGCGCUUUUAGCAAUUGGUGGGCUCUAUGCUUUCUAACCGUCUGCCUCUGUGGACAAUCUCUUGACAAUUUGACCUCAAAUCGGGUGGGACUACCCGCUGAACUUAAGCAUAUCAAUAAGCGGAGGAAAAAGAAACUAACAAGGAUUCCCCUAGU